CUAGUGACAUAGAGAACUUAUCUUGUACAAGCCAUUGAUAGGAUCUGUUUUUGCUCAUUGUUUUUUUAUAUGAGAUAUCUGAGCAUUUUUCCCUUUCAUUUUACAUGCAUGCAUCAAUUGUUCACAACAAUAUGUCAUUUUGAAAAAUGUUGACUCUUACUCAUGCUGGCUUGAUAUCUUGGUUGAUUUAUAACCAUGAUGCAAUCAUCUGUGAAUGACAGCAUCAGAUUUAUACAGGACCUGUAAUUUAAUUUUAAGGGAGAUAACCACUUGCAACUGGAUUGCUUUUCUAGAUCUGCAUAUAGAUAUUUGUAUUCAUUGUGCAAAUUUUUUUAAAAAUUAGUAUAUAUUAAGUUCAAUCAAUACCUAAUCCUUUUUAUAAAGUGGAUGCUUUUAUACUAUUUUCUGAGCAAUGUCAAUAUAUGUUUUCAGAGUACUCUCCCUGGUAGAAAGUACAAUCGAGAUAUAAUACUUCCAUACUGUAAAAUAUACACCUUAUUU
rnacentral:misc_RNA from 1 species